AGGCAAAAAAGGUACUCGUUAUUAACAUUAAGAAAAAUGCGGCCCGCCUUUACUUCAUUUUGCCGCUAUGUGGCCCUUACGUACUGAAAGGUUAUGAACCACUGCCAUAAGAAAAUAAAUUAUAAAAACAGGAUAUAAGAAUAUAAAGCCGUCUUUCACUCGCUGUUCCGUCCUUAAGUGUAGCCUAUAUUAGGUCUAGGAUUUCGUCAUCCGGAGUGGACCAGAGCCACUAAGUCUGUGAGACCCGACUGAUAAUGUAACAUGGUGCAAAGGAUAUUCGAUUACACCAUAUUAUUAAAAAAUAUGCAAUGUGUAUGAAUCAUUGCGUACGCCUAUCUGGAUAGCGUAGGCAUCUUCCUAUUGGAAUCACUCGGUUCAGUCAGUAAGUUAUCGACCAUUGUACAAACAAGUUUCCUGCUCACAGUGGAUAAUCGAUUUCUAUUUUGAAAAGUGACAAAAGUGUUUUUUUAUAUCUUUAUAGUUGGAUUGAUAAAGAUUAGUCGGAACCUGCUUAGGCGUUGCAGUUUGGUAAUAGAAAGUCAUUGACAAAUAUAAAUUGAGCAUCUCGCACAAUAUACAAAUACGCACAAAUAACGCAGAAUCGGUGCCAAUCAGUCUUCAACAGAAGGAUUUGACUGACUUUGAAGACGGAUAAGUUCUUACAUCGCGAAAAUGGUCGACUUCUAUAUC